AUCAUGUAUGAUACUGCAAACA
rnacentral:miRNA from 2 species